rnacentral:rRNA from 1 species
GGACGAGAUGUCGACUGGAGGUUGUGCCCUUGAGGCGUGGCUUCCGGAGCUAACGCGUUAAGUCGACCGCCUGGGGAGUACGGCCGCAAGGUUAAAACUCAAAUGAAUUGACGGGGGCCCGCACAAGCGGUGGAGCAUGUGGUUUAAUUCGAUGCAACGCGAAGAACCUUACCUACUCUUGACAUCCAGAGAACUUAGCAGAGAUGCUUUGGUGCCUUCGGGAACUCUGAGACAGGUGCUGCAUGGCUGUCGUCAGCUCGUGUUGUGAAAUGUUGGGUUAAGUCCCGCAACGAGCGCAACCCUUAUCCUUUGUUGCCAGCGGUUAGGCCGGGAACUCAAAGGAGACUGCCAGUGAUAAACUGGAGGAAGGUGGGGAUGACGUCAAGUCAUCAUGGCCCUUACGAGUAGGGCUACACACGUGCUACAAUGGCGCAUACAAAGAGAAGCGACCUCGCGAGAGCAAGCGGACCUCAUAAAGUGCGUCGUAGUCCGGAUUGGAGUCUGCAACUCGACUCCAUGAAGUCGGAAUCGCUAGUAAUCGUGGAUCAGAAUGCCACGGUGAAUACGUUCCCGGGCCUUGUACACACCGCCCGUCACACCAUGGGAGUGGGUUGCAAAAGAAGUAGGUAGCUUAACCUUCGGGAGGGCGCUUACCACUUUGUGAUUCAUGACUGGGGUGAAGUCUAAAAGGGGGGAACCAAAACAAUUUGGGCCCUGCCCCGUUUCCCCAGGGUGGGAUUACCGUUUUUA